AUUGAACGCUGGCGGGCAGGCCUAACACAUGCAAGUCGAGCGGAAACGAGUUAUCUGAACCUUCGGGGAACGAUAACGGCGUCGAGCGGCGGACGGGUGAGUAAUGCCUAGGAAAUUUGCCCUGAUGUGGGGGAUAACCAUUGGAAACGAUGGCUAAUACCGCAUGAUGCCUACGGGCCAAAGAGGGGGACCUUCGGGCCUCUCGCGUCAGGAUAUGCCUAGGUGGGAUUAGCUAGUUGGUGAGGUAAGGGCUCACCAAGGCGACGAUCCCUAGCUGGUCUGAGAGGAUGAUCAGCCACACUGGAACUGAGACACGGUCCAGACUCCUACGGGAGGCAGCAGUGGGGAAUAUUGCACAAUGGGCGCAAGCCUGAUGCAGCCAUGCCGCGUGUAUGAAGAAGGCCUUCGGGUUGUAAAGUACUUUCAGUCGUGAGGAAGGCGGCGUCGUUAAUAGCGGCGUUGUCUGACGUUAGCGACAGAAGAAGCACCGGCUAACUCCGUGCCAGCAGCCGCGGUAAUACGGAGGGUGCGAGCGUUAAUCGGAAUUACUGGGCGUAAAGCGCAUGCAGGUGGUUUGUUAAGUCAGAUGUGAAAGCCCGGGGCUCAACCUCGGAAUAGCAUUUGAAACUGGCAGACUAGAGUACUGUAGAGGGGGGUAGAAUUUCAGGUGUAGCGGUGAAAUGCGUAGAGAUCUGAAGGAAUACCGGUGGCGAAGGCGGCCCCCUGGACAGAUACUGACACUCAGAUGCGAAAGCGUGGGGAGCAAACAGG
rnacentral:rRNA from 1 species